rnacentral:misc_RNA from 1 species
AUUAUCUACUUAAUCCUUUAUUUUCAAAAAUAUAUUAAUUAGUCUCGAUACGUUUUAUUUAUAUUUUAGCCUCUCUAAUCAUUUUAGACAUUAGUUUGAAUUUCAUUUUGUGUGUUGAACUAUUUAAUUUUAUAAUAGCAAUUUCUUUCUCUUAUGGAUGUAAAGUAUUGGUGCCACGACCCAAACCCGUGGGCCAAACCGACAUAGGGACAUGGGCCACAUAAAGCUCCUGAAACUCAUAGUGAGUCUUACUAUUCCCAACCCCAUAAUCAGUCCAAUCUCAGGCCCGUCAUGCAAUAUAAAUUAUUAUAAAAUAACAUAACUCAAUUUAAGGAGUCCAACUCGGCUCAACACAUAGCACAACAAUUUGGAAAGUUUAGCUCAAUUCUAAUAUCCAAUAUAUUUAAUCAAUUUAUUUAUAUCCAUCAAUACAAUAUUUAUUAAUGUUACUAUGAAGUUCUAACAAUAAAAUAAAUAAAUAAACACAGUAAAAACUAUUAAGCAAUAUCAUAAUCUGCAGAGAAAAAUGUAGUUAGGCUCUGAAAGAAUAAUGCUCAUCCUGCCAAGGGAAAAAUAUUGAACAGAAAUGAGUAUUCAAUUCAGAGAGUUGAGAUAUUGAUUAUGGUUAUAAUUUCUAUAACUAUCUAUUUCUAGUGUAGUCCUAUCAAUGAAAAUGCAACAAACAAACAAAUCACACAAACCUCGUAUGAGAGGAUAAAUUAGAGCUACUCAUGUACCCAUUAAUAAUAAAUAUUAGGAGUCGACCCCAUACUUUGGCUCUUUGAAAUCCAACUGUUAGUAGUAUGUCAUAGAGCAUAUCA